rnacentral:lncRNA from 1 species
CUCUCUCUCUCUUUAUGCAAUAAAAAAAGAAAUCUAAAACUUUUACCACAUUAAGAUAUAAUUUAUAUUAUUUAAUACUCACGAACUUAUAGAGAUUUGAUUUUUGUUCACGAUGGUUAAUAACCAAAUAAAUGUCGUUCCCUUUUUGUCAAAGUCUAUAAAAAUAUUUAAAAUUAAACGAGUACUAUCAUCAUCUCCCUUUAGAUAUUCUCCGUUCUUUCUCUCACAUUUAUCAAACGAAAAGAAGAUAAGUUAGUUGGUUCAAGGUUAAAGGUUUCACCUGCGUAAUGGUGAAAGAAUAAAAUAGGAAGAGAGAGAAAAAGAAAGAGUGGAGAGGAGUGGAGUGGAGAGGAUAGAAUAGUAUGGUCAAUUUUUCUUUGGGGUGAGAUUCUAGGCGUCGACGCCAAUGCCGUGGAUGACAUCAUUGCGAAACGGUCGUUUCGUUGGGCCGAGUUGGUGGAGGAUGACGAUGAAGUGGAGGAAAAGAAGAAGAACGAGUAAGAGGAGGAGGUGGAGGUGGAGGAGGAGUGGUAAAGUCUGCGGAUGAUUCGUGAGAGGUGAAGGGUGCAGGGGGAGGCCCUGCGAGAACUAUGCGAAAAGAGGAAGAGGAUGGAUCGAGGGGAAUGAGAUGCGCACACGAUCGCUAGAAAGAGAAAGAUGUAUAGAUUUAGAAGAAGAAGGGGUGAUGGGAUGUUGGCAGGGUGGGAUGGGGGUAAGGGGAAGGAUACGUUUAUGUGUUCAUGUGUGUGGUGGUGGUAUGCAUAUAUACAUGCAUAUGAUUGUAUAUGGGCGUGCGUAUGCGUGGUUAAUAUAUGUGUGUGUUUGUUGGCGCGAUUGCGCGUCGUACCCCAUCGAAGCAAACUUCACGCGUGUGUAUAAGGAAAGAUAGUAGUGUAAGCGAAAAAGAAGACGAGAUUACGGAUAGAAGAGGAGAGUGGCGAGGAUGGGAAAAGGGUAGAGAGCAUGAUAUAAGCAUGCCGCGGUCAAUCCGCGUAGUGGGGCGAAGCGGGUAACCAGGCCUUGAAGAAGGAAAAGAGAAGAACAAAAGCGCACGCUCUGCGACUAUGCGCUACGUAGCGCGCGCUUUUGUAAGAGAAAGAGAGAGUAGGAAGGGGAACCAUCUUUCCGCGAGAAACUCUUUCCGACUAUAAUAACGUGCAGUGGCCCAGUUUGCAGAGAGCUACCACUACGAAGGCAGUUACUGUUGGUAGAGUGGGCGGGGAGGAUACGUAUCUGUGUCACAGCACACGCGCUCUGUAAUCGGAACUUUUCAUCGCCGGUAUUCUCUCUUUCUCUCUCUUUAUUUCAUUCUGUGUUCUUGGCCCGUUUGCACUUUGCACGAACGUAUCGUUCACAAAUGGAAGAUUCAAAAUCUUUUACCGUUUAGAUCAUCACCGAUGAUACGCGCGUAUGUCAUUGUAAUAAGAACAAAUGAAAAACGAUAGUGCAAAAAAAAAAGAGAUCUGUUUGUUACUAUUUUAAAUUUGAUUUAUUUCAAUAUUAUUUUAAUUAAGAUGAUUGAUUUAAUUCGACAUUGAUAUUAUACACACCAAUGAAUUCUGAUCAACCAACGGAUAUAUUAUGAAACAAUGAUAGAAUUGUGAAAAACUACAGGAAACGUGGUGUGCGUUGUCGAAUCCGAGAGUCCGAGAUAGUACGAAGCGUAACUUCUUACGUUUAUGCAAAUUCGUUAAAUAAGCAUACCAUCUUAUAUGGAGUCAGAGUAUAAAACUCGUUUUCAAGCUUACUAUUCCCAAACGAAAUAAAGCUAAGCGUCGUUGAACAUUUAACAUAUUGAUAUGUAGUAGGCAGUAGGUUGAGAAGUAUUAUUAUCGGCGCUUGACAUCUCGAUUCAUUCGAAAAAUACAGCUGUCUCUCUGAUAUAAUAUAAUAUAAAGUGAACGUUUAGAUAGUAUACAUAUACAUAUAUAUGUAUAUGACUUACAAUAUAUAUGAAUACUUUCACCUCGAUACGAGCUGGUUCUUAUUGAUCGUCACAAAGUGGUAGAACCUGCAUUCGUUAUGUCGAAAUCGAACUUCUUGUCCCGUGAGAGAGAUCCGUUAGACGAGAGAAAGAGAAAGAGAAAAAGAGAGAGAGAGAGAGAAGGAGAGUUUAACAUAGAGAGAAAACCAAUAGAGAAUGCAAGCCAAGAGCCAUACGGUUUCUAUCACACCCUUUUACUACUCUCUAUGCAUCCCCCUAUCUUGAGAUUUAUUGGACAUUUUACAGAACACCGAUGCAUGAACACCUAAUCGACUAGACUUUCUAUCCUAUUUAUCGUCACAAUGACGUAAAUAUAUUUUCAACGAUAUCGUAACACAUAACAUUACAUAUUGGUUAUCAUGAUAAUAUCAACAUUCAUUCCCGUUUAGAAGAAUUUCAAAGCUUAAA